UUUACUACUGCUUGGAUCGAUGGCAGUGGCAGUGUCUUGAUAGAACAACGCCACUAUAUGCUAUAUAACGAGCUAACUGGAGAAACCCGUCGCUACUCUAGAUUAGACCCUGCAGUUCUCGGUUCUAAUCGGUGGAUUUAUCUGUUUGUACUGCAAUAAAACUUCUGGUUUUUAGGUUUCUACAACUGUUGCCACCAUGGCGAGGUUCUACAGGACCAUUCAGUGCCUCCUCAGUCGAAAUCUCGACUGGGCCUACCAGGAAACCCUGAUCGAAGCGUGCGUUGUCAUCUUCUUUGCAUUCCACUCCGGCCUGAUUUUGGGUUUCCGGGCCUUCCCAGAAAAGCAGAUCCUCACGGGAAUGUGACUAUGCUCAAGCCACUUAAUAUUACAUCUCAGCAAUCUGUCAUUGCGCUAAACGAAUCUUCCCCGGAUCGGAUCAAUUCAUCCGGAACGCCACUGUUCAACAUUUCUCAGGAGCCGUUCCACCCGAUAAGCACGAACUCCAUGCAACCGGCACCAGCAACCCCACUGAAUCGCCGUUCCGCUGCCUACACCGUUGGGCUGGCCACCAUCUUGUUUGUUUCGCUGGCCAGUUCGCUCGUGGUCAACCGACACUGGCGCUACUCCAUCGGCCAGCAACAUCUGCGAUACUGCCGCACGAUCACGAAAUUCUUCGGUUACCGUGAUAAUGCGGAGAAUGUACUGGAUUUCCUCAACGCCUCGUAUCAUCCGCUACGAACGGCGCUGAACGCGGUAUUACUGGGGACUAUGUGGCUAAUAUCCGUGAUAGCAAGCUUAGUCGUUGCGGUGGCGCCUCUCAUCGUCGCCGAUUUCCUUUUGCCGGUGAUCAUGAGUAUUCACGGUCACGAAAGCGAGUUCCCGUAUCGCCUCCGCUUCUUCUGCGGUCUGUGCAUUCAUUCGACAGGCAGGAUUUUGGGAUUGUGGUCGUCUAAGACUUGUUUCUCGUACAUUGCUAACGACAUCCAUCAACUUUUGGGUUGGAAAAUCUUGAUUGCCGAACGUAAGAAGCGUAGUUCCCUUGAAGUACCGUCAUCGUUCCAAAAGAAACCCCGCAUUCGGCAUUUGCAUGGACAUACUAUUUCGAAGAUUCGCCGGGUGGCAGCGUUUUUUCUCUGUAUUUCUGUUUCAUGAAGGCGUGGCCAAUAUGCGCCAAGUUCCUCAUUGUCAGACAUUGGAGUAGCGGAACGAAUUUGGAGAGCUUUGCCCAUUCCUUUACUCUUACCGAGAAACCAGAUGCCAAAUCUGUCGGGAUACUUUCGAAAGUCCAACGGAGUACAAACCAGGCACCGCCAUGCUGUCGUACUGGCCGUGCCGAGCAUCGGAGAACCUGGCCGCCCAGCAUGUGAACAGUUCUGAUUCCCGGCUCUACUCCCUGCUGAUAGCUACAUACUCCGUUGGAUGGCCGUUGGCCUGGAGCGGGGUGUUAUUGAUCCUUGCUUGCUUACCUCUGGUGGCGGUGGCAUUCCAGCCCCCCGAUUGCGGUGCUAUGCCACUGGAGAUGGGCCUCGAUCACCUUGCAAAAUUCUGCACUCGAGCGCUUGCGGCCGCCGUUCAGUCAGAUACGAAUCGGGAAGAAAACGAAGCAGAUGACCGUGCGAACGCCAGACCGACAAAAGAGUCCUCGAACCGGGCGUUCAACACCUUUUGGGAUGGCCUCUGCCCGGAAGCCAUUGAAUGGAUGGGGUGUCAGUUUAAGUCCCUGGAUAAGCACCGUGCCAGCAUGCCAGAAGAAACCUACAUUUCCAAGGUGCUCGAAAUAUUUACGGGAACCCGCGCUAUCAGCUGCGAAUUGGAGUUUUGCGUAUGCGCAUCGUGGGCGCACUUGGUUCUGGCGCCGCUGAUGGCCUUUGCUCCCUACUUGUGGUGCUCCGUUCUGCCGACGCCGUUGGUGGAACUGUUCCUGCCGGAGCGUCUUCAACUGCCCGGCUUACUGCUGCUGCUAACCGGUAUCAUAGUGUGGGCGUACGGAAUAUUUAUUCGGUCGGUGCGGACGCGUUGUGCAUGCGGGGAACAUGCGUCACUGGAAAACCACGACGCGGCUAAUGAAGAGGACUGACCUUUGACGUGCACCAUCGGGGAACCGCUACACCGCCGGCAGUGGUUCAGAAAGUAACUGCUCCCUCUUAAGGAGAAACCAAAUUAUCUCUUUUCCCAUUUUUUAUCUCAAGAUAAUGAUUUUGGUCUUUAUUUUAUUUUUAUCUGCCAUGGCACUGCGUCGAGAUUGGCAAUUUUGUCAUCCAUUUUCUAAGCCAAAUGCAAAGAUGGCUAAUUUAAGCGGUCAGGUACUUUCCAUCCGGUAAUUAAUUUCAUAAGUAAUACCUAGUUUGGCUGGCUUCAUAUUCUAACCUUUAACCAAACCGAUGACGUGCUGGUUUGGUCGUCGUAUGUCUUGAUGUCCUUACAGUGCUUUUAAAGUACUGUAGCCGCUAGAUGAAGUGGCUCCACAGAGUUGG